UACGGGGGGGGCAAGCGUUGUUCGGAAUUACUGGGCGUAAAGGGCGCGUAGGCGGCCACUGCAAGUCGGUUGUGAAAUCUCCGGGCUUAACCCGGAAAGGUCAAUCGAUACUGCAGGGCUAGAGUGCAGAAGGGGCAACUGGAAUUCUCGGUGUAGCGGUGAAAUGCGUAGAUAUCGAGAGGAACACCUGCGGCGAAGGCGGGUUGCUGGGCUGACACUGACGCUGAAGCGCGAAAGCUAGGGGAGCGAACGGG
rnacentral:rRNA from 1 species